CAUACUGACGUAGUUAAACAGUAUUGGCUGAACUCUUAUGUAAGAUGUUGAGUUAAUCCUUAUUAUAAGAAAUUGUGUCAAAGGUGAGAUUUUCUGAAAGUCUAGAGCAGGGGUCACAAACUCAAAGGCCUUUAGGAACCGGAAAGUGAAGUGUAGCAAGGCCAGGCCAAAUUCAGAAGAGGUGACUGAAAUGAUGCUGCCCGAUCAAAAAAUCGUUUGGUCUUCAGAAUUGAGCUCAUAGGAUCUUUUAACACGAAUCAGCUGGCUGGAGGAAUUUUGGAAGGGGUGAGGCAUACACUUUCUUCUAUGUUCCUGAAACCACAACAUUGUUAGGACUCAUCUGUUCAUGAGACCAGACCAAUAGAAAAUGAGCACUUCGUGGAUAAAAAAUACAGAUGGAAACUUAGUGGUAUUCCAAAGCUGAGACUGAGACUGAAUGCUAAUAGGGGACACAAUUAUGAAUUGAAAAUAGUGCUGCUCCUCAAAGAGAUAAUUCGUGACAUUUACCAGAGGCCACAACACAUGUGGCAUUGCAGGCGAUUGAAUACAGAAGCAGAUCUGAGGAUCCAGCUGUCUACUACUACUAUAUAUGAGUUGUAAAAUGUAAAAUAAUGUUACUCUUCUCACUAAAUCUGUGUCCAUUUCUGCACAGUAUCUUACUUUUAACUUAUAAUACAGAAAA
rnacentral:lncRNA from 1 species